rnacentral:rRNA from 1 species
CCUACGGGUGGCAGCAGUGAGGAAUAUUGGUCAAUGGACGAGAGUCUGAACCAGCCAAGUCGCGUGAAGGAUGACUGCCCUAUGGGUUGUAAACUUCUUUUAUAUGGGAAUAAAACAGGGUAUGCAUACACUCUUGUAUGUACCAUAUGAAUAAGGAUCGGCUAACUCCGUGCCAGCAGCCACGGUAAUACGGAGGAUCCGAGCGUUAUCCGGAUUUAUUGGGUUUAAAGGGCGCGUAGGUGGAUUGUUAAGUCAGUUGUGAAAGUUUGUGGCUCAACCGUAAAAUUGCAGUUGAAACUGGGAGUCUUGAGUGCAGGAGAGGUGGGUGGAAUUCGUGGUGUAGCGGUGAAAUGCUUAGAUAUCACGAAGAACUCCGAUUGCGAAGGCAGCUCACUGGACCGCAACUGACACUGAUGCUCGAAAGUGUGGGUAUCAAACAGGAUUAGAUACCCGAGUAGUC